GGGGAGGUGCCAGAGUGGUCGAUUGGGGCCGCCUGCUAAGCGGUUGACGGGGCAUAAAACCUCGUCCGCGGGUUCGAAUCCCGCCCUCCCCG
rnacentral:tRNA from 1 species